rnacentral:rRNA from 1 species
AGAGUUUGAUCCUGGCUCAGGGUGAACGCUGGCGGCGUGCUUAACACAUGCAAGUCGAACGGACCUUGAAAGAUGGAAGCUUCGGCUGAAAUUUUUCUCUGGUUAGUGGCAAACGGGUGAGUAAUGUAUAAGUAACAUGCCCUUAAGUCUGGGAUAACCCUCCGAAAGGGGAGCUAAUACCGGAUACAUUCUCUUUUUCGCCUGAAUUAGAGAAGAAAGUUUUUCGCUUAAGGAGUGGCUUAUAUCUGAUUAGUUUGUUGGUAAGGUAAUGGCUUACCAAGGCGAUGAUCAGUAGCUGGUUUGAGAGGAUGAUCAGCCACACUGGGACUGAGACACGGCCCAGACUCCUACGGGAGGCAGCAGUGGGGAAUAUUGCGCAAUGGGGGAAACCCUGACGCAGCGACGCCGCGUGAGUGACGAAGUCUUUAGGGAUGUAAAGCUCUGUCAAGAGGGACGAUUAUGACGGUACCUCUAAAGGAAGCCCCGGCUAACUACGUGCCAGCAGCCGCGGUAAUACGUAGGGGGCGAGCGUUACCCGGAUUUAUUGGGCAUAAAGAGCGCGUAGGCAGUAUUUUAAGUCAGAUGUUAAAUUCUCAAGCUCAACUUGAGUACGCAUUUGAAACUGGAUUACUAGAGGUCAGUAGAGGAAAGCGGAACUCACAGUGUAGCGGUGAAAUGCGUAGAUAUUGUGAGGAACACCAGUUGCGAAGGCGGCUUUCUGGCCUGAUUCUGACGCUGAGGCGCGAAAGCGUGGGGAGCGAACGGGAUUAGAUACCCCGGUAGUCCACGCCGUAAACUGUGUUCACUAGGUGUAGGAGGUAUCGACCCCUUCUGUGCCACAGAUAAUUCGUUAAGUGAACCGCCUGGGAAGUACGACCGCAAGGUUAAAACUCAAAGGAAUUGACGGGGGCCCGCACAAGCAGUGGAGCAUGUGGUUUAAUUCGACGAUACACGAAGAACCUUACCAGGACUUGACAUCUAUAGAAUUUUUUAGAAAUAAAGAAGUGCCCGCAAGGGAACUAUAAGACAGGUGGUGCAUGGCUGUCGUCAGCUCGUGUCGCGAGAUGUUGGGUUAAGUCCCGCAACGAGCGCAACCCUCAUUCUGUGUUGCCAGCACUAACGGUGGGAACUCACAGAAGACUGCCUGUGUAAAGCAGGAGGAAGGUGAGGAUGACGUCAAGUCAUCAUGCCCCUUACGUCCUGGGCUACACACAUGCUACAAUGGCCGGUACAAAGGGUCGCGAUACCGCGAGGUGGAGCCAAUCUCAUAAAACCGGUCUAAGUACGGAUUGUAGUCUGCAACUCGACUACAUGAAGCUGGAAUUGCUAGUAAACGCAGAUCAGCUAUGCUGCGUUGAAUACGUUCUCGGGCCUUGUACACACCGCCCGUCACACCAUGAGAGUCGAGAAUACCCGAAGCCGAUGUGUUAACCCUUUUGGGAAACAGUUGUCGAAGGUAGGCUUGGCGAUUGGGGUGAAGUCGUAACAAGGUA